rnacentral:rRNA from 1 species
UGUAGGGUGCGAGCGUUAAUCGGAAUUACUGGGCGUAAAGCGUGCGCAGGCGGUUUUGUAAGACAGAUGUGAAAUCCCCGGGCUCAACCUGGGACCUGCAUUUGUGACUGCAAGGCUAGAGUACGGUAGAGGGGGAUGGAAUUCCGCGUGUAGCAGUGAAAUGCGUAGAUAUGCGGAGGAACACCGAUGGCGAAGGCAAUCCCCUGGACCUGUACUGACGCUCAUGCACGAAAGCGUGGGGAGCAAACAGGAUUAGAUACCCUGGUAGUCCACGCCCUAAACGAUGUCAACUGGUUGUUGGGUCUUUACUGACUCAGUAACGAAGCUAACGCGUGAAGUUGACCGCCUGGGGAGUACGGCCGCAAGGUUG